GCCUUGGUGACGUAGUGAUAGCAUGCGCUCCCUAUAAGGGUGAAACGCGAGUUCAACUCGCGCCUGAGGUG